rnacentral:rRNA from 1 species
AGUGAACGCUGGCGGUAGGCCUAACACAUGCAAGUCGAACGGCAGCACAGUAAGAGCUUGCUCUUACGGGUGGCGAGUGGCGGACGGGUGAGGAAUACAUCGGAAUCUACUUUUUCGUGGGGGAUAACGUAGGGAAACUUACGCUAAUACCGCAUACGACCUACGGGCGAAAGCAGGGGAUCUUCGGACCUUGCGCGAUUGAAUGAGUCGAUGUCGGAUUAGCUAGUUGGCGGGGUAAAGGCCCACCAAGGCGACGAUCCGUAGCUGGUCUGAGAGGAUGAUCAGCCACACUGGAACUGAGACACGGUCCAGACUCCUACGGGAGGCAGCAGUGGGGAAUAUUGGACAAUGGGCGCAAGCCUGAUCCAGCCAUACCGCGUGGGUGAAGAAGGCCUUCGGGUUGUAAAGCCCUUUUGUUGGGAAAGAAAAGCAGCAGGUUAAUACCCCGCUGUUCUGACGGUACCCAAAGAAUAAGCACCGGCUAACUUCGUG